rnacentral:lncRNA from 1 species
UUUGGAGUUUUAUUGACGUGGCACCUUGAGCAUAAUAUGAAUUAUUGGUUGUAUUUAUAUUAAGUAUUAUUGAUGGGGAUCAAGGGUGUUACACAAUCCCUAAAUUACACACUCAGAGGUAACAUAAUUAUGUUUUGACUUAACUAUUCACUAAUAGAAAAAGCAAAAUUAGAGAGAGAAAUUAGUGACGAAAAAAGUGAAAUUCCUCAGUAGUUUCCUCAUCGCAAAUCUCAGUGACAUAAUUAGAGAGGGAUUUCAUAAUUUUCCUCGCUAAAUUUCCCACACUAAUUAUUGUUCUUUAAUAGUGAUUAUUAAUUAAAAAUAAAAGUAAUGACAAUGUCUACUAAAACUUUUACCAAAACACUUCGCAACCAUAGGAAUCGGUUUUUCCACCUUUGGACAAUCAUCAACAGUAACACAAGGAAGCUUAGCUGCAUUGUCAAAUAAUAAAAAAAUAUGUUACUAAAAGGUGAUAAAGUAUUAUUCAUAAGAAAAUAUUUAAAAAGUUGUAAAUGGUGUGAAAAAUAUUGUACUUAUUUGUGCUUCAACAAACAAUAGAUAAAGAAAGAUGAUCAAAGCAUAAACAAAUAUUAUUAGUUGAGC